AUCGCUUCUCGGCCUUUUGGCUAAGAUCAAGUGGAGAAGAGGUUGGAGAUACUCCUGUCAACUUGUGUAAACAAAAAUUUUCUUUAUAACUUAGUUUGCACAGACUUUACCAGCCCCUAGAACAUUUCCAUUGCAUAUAGGUAUAUGUAUUAGACUCAUU
ensembl:snRNA U2 U2 spliceosomal RNA